rnacentral:rRNA from 1 species
UCUGACCUCAAAUCAGGUAGGAU